rnacentral:rRNA from 1 species
UACGGAGGGGGCUAGCGUUGUUCGGAAUUACUGGGCGUAAAGCGUGCGCAGGCGGUUCGUUGUGUCGGCGGUGAAAUCCCCGGGCUCAACAUGGGAAUGGCCGUUGAAACUGGCGAACUGGAGUGUGGCAGAGGGGGGUGGAAUUCCGCGUGUAGCAGUGAAAUGCGUAGAGAUGCGGAGGAACACCGAUGGCGAAGGCAGCCCCCUGGGCUGACACUGACGCUCAGGCACGAAAGCGUGGGGAGCAAACAGG